CCUCCUUGGUCUUAGUUGGGCAGAAUCUGGUUGGAUCUAUAUCACCACAUAUUGGCAACCUCAGUUUUCUCAGGUUGAUCAACCUCCAAAACAACAGCUUCAGCGGUGAAAUUCCACCGCAAGUUGGCAACUUAUUUCGAUUGCGGGAAUUCCUUGUCAGUAGAAACUCAUUACAUGGUACAAUUGCAAUAAACUUGACUCGCUGCUCACAGCUCAAGACGAUCGAUUUACGAUGGAAUAAUAUAGCUGGAAAAAUUCCCGCAGAACUUGGGUCUCUUACAAAGCUAGAGAUGCUUGGAAUUCGUAGUAACAAUCUGACAGGAGAAAUUCC
rnacentral:misc_RNA from 1 species